rnacentral:lncRNA from 1 species
AUGCUCGCUAGGCGAGCAGAAUGGCUUGCCUAGCGAGUGAGUGUUGGCUGCUCUUUUGACCAAGUCUGAACGUGUUCGCUACCACCUUCGCUGGCUGCUCGCCUAACGAGUAUGUUGAUGUCUGCUACUGUAAAAUACUGGAGAUGUUCGCUGGAAUCUCACUGGGUGCUCGCCUAGCGAGCACUUCGCCACAGCACUCGCCUAGCGAGC